CGGGACGGGUGAGUAACACGUGGAUAACUACCUAUAAGACUGGGAUAACUUCGGGAAACCGGAGCUAAUACCGGAUAAUAUAUUGAACCGCAUGGUUCAAUAGUGAAAGACGGUUUUGCUGUCACUUAUAGAUGGAUCCGCGCCGCAUUAGCUAGUUGGUAAGGUAACGGCUUACCAAGGCAACGAUGCGUAGCCGACCUGAGAGGGUGAUCGGCCACACUGGAACUGAGACACGGUCCAG
rnacentral:rRNA from 1 species